GCAGCCACAGCCCCAACCCCAGCCGCUCCACUCCUUUCCGCAUCCGCACCCGCACCCGCACCCGCACCCACAUCCGCACCCACAGUCGCUCUCGCAAUCGCACGGUCACCGGCUUCUCCGCAGCACCUCCAACUCUGCCUGAAGGGGGCAACACCCGGGCCAGACGCGGUUCUGAGGAUUUGAGGAAAUGGGACCAGCACAUUUCUAUUGUCUUCACUUGAUCGAAAACGAAAGUCUCCCGGCCCUUCCCCAGAUCCAGUAGUGUGGACAUCACCCAGCUUGCGAUCUCCUUAGUUUAACAAACUUCAUCGAGAUGCAGGAAACGAUUUCAGUCAAGACUUUUAUGAACCUUUGAAACGAUCUUCUAGUAUGGUGGACCUUCUAGGAGCGAUGAUGUACUGUAAUUUUAUUUUAAUGUAUUUUGAUUUAUGAUUAUUUAUUAGUGUUUUUUUUAAUGCUUGGUUCUAAGACGUUUCUGAAUGUAGGCCAUUUCCCAAGAAAGAAACCUUAUGUUCAAAAAAAACGUGUUCCCUAGUAAGUCCUAAUUUUGGAAAAGUACAAGGGCGGUGGGGGGGAAACCAUUAAGAACUCAUUCAUUAUUCUUAGGGCAUUUUCAGAAGGUCGGAUACUUUCAUUGUUACAUCAGGUGGUUGAAAUUAAAUUCUUGUGAUGAGUUUUUUUUGUGGAGUUUUUUCCCCCCCCUUUAGCCACAUUUAUGUAGAAUAGAGGUCAAAAGAAGCAAAAAGGUUCCGAAUUGUAUGUAACUGUGGAACUCUAAUGCUCAAGCUGCUGCUUUUUUAAAGGAUCUCAUUAGCAAUGGUUUCUGGUUUCAGAAUCCCAUUUAAAGUAUAAUUCAGCUCAUAGCAGUAUAAUGGCAUCUUGACCAUGUGUUGUAGGAGAAACCUUGCUUUUACCUUGUGUGUGUGAAGAGUUUAAUAAGUUCUUUUGACUGUGAUUUAUGAGUAUCAGUGCAUUCGGUGUCUUCUUUUUUAAGAAGUAGUGAGGGGUGGGAAAGAAUCAUUUCUCUUGAGAGAACGUGUUUGCCCCUUGCAGGCUGUCGCUACCGCUCUCCAGGAGCAAGAGCUCAUACACGACUUGAACCACAUUUCCCGGUCCUCUGACUUCAUUGUAGAAACACACUGGAGAACAUACUGCGUUUAGAUACUUUUUGUAAAGAUUUAGAAGGAUUUGGGGUCAUAACCUUCAGUUUUGAGAAUGAAAACAACGUUUAUCAGCAAAACCAGCGGUGUUGGUUUUUAUUAACUGAGAAAUUUGAGGGUUAUGCAUUUUGUUGCCAGGUUAAGCAAACUCAAGGCAUUGAAAAGGGCAGCCCUAGAAAAACACUUGGUUUUCAGUUCAAAAGGAGCCCACUGCUCGCCUUGUUUUAGAAGCCACUUAUUUAGGGAUCUUGGGGAAUAAAAGGAGGAUGUGCUUUUGAAGGUAGAACAAAUGGUCUUCUGUGUUAAAUCAGAAGGAUGGUCAGAAUCUGCACAUGCAGAUGAGAGCCAUAGAUGAUGCCCGUCCUUUGGGCUUUAAAAUCCAUUCCUAUCUGCAUGCUUUUAGGAAAAGAUCUCUUGAGUUUUCCAAGACUUUUCUAUGUAAAAGUCUUGGUCAGGAUUUUUCUAGCGUUCAUUCUGGAAUGAUCAAUAUCAGGCCAGUAUUAAGUACUUUAGAGAUGAAAACAAUUGCAUUUUUGGAGCUAUCUUUAUUCUUCCUGCAGCUAGAAAGGAGUUUCAAGGUCAAAUGAUUUUUUUUUCAUGUUACAUUUAAAUGAUGAAAUUUUAAGGUCACAACUCAUCCCAAUAGUGGGGAAAAGGAAAACUAGUGCAGUGGUGAACAGAGGCUGUUUUGAUUGCAGAUGGUGAAGAUACUCUGCUGAGGUUUAAAAUCAUAGCUAUCUGAUGCUUAGAGAACCCAGUGCAAGGAGACUUCUUAAAUCUGGUUCAGUUUCCUUACAACUACUGUACUUUUGGGAGAAUGACCCAUAAAUAGUACUGCAGUUGUAAUACAAUAGGUCAUCAUAGCCCAAAUUAACAGGCUCCCCCACCCCUAGAUGAAGGCUUUUCCUUCCAAAUCCAUGUGCUUAAAAAAUUCAAAACAAAACCCACAUUAAAUACCUUUAAGUUAAAUUUCAAGUAGCUUCUUAAAAAGGCAUUUAUAUGUUGUUAGCUUUCAUAUAGGGCUAGGUGGUCUCACUGUCAAAAAUAUGCCCAGGCUCUCUCCUAGCUGCUGGAAUUCUUUUUCCUCUCAGCCAUGGUUCAUAAUGGACUCACCACUAUGCUGGUUUCUGGUCUUUGCUCAGCACGUGCACCUUGUUCAGCGGUGAUAUUAAUGCUGGGUGGUCUCACUGUGGUUCUGUAGGUCAAAAACCCUGACAUUCCAUGAUGGUGAGACCUCUGCAUUAGAAAAGAGGGAAAUAGGGUGUUUUCUGUUGUUUUGACAUUUGUAAAUUAUUGUGAUUAGAUCAUUUUCCCAGAGCACAACUCCCUCAAAACUAAAACAGGACAACCAACUGAAAAAAGCAGGCAUGCUUAACAAAACAGAAUAGAAGGACAACAUUCGAAUCACUUGUCUCAGUGGCUUUAUUCUACCUGUAAGGAAAUUAUGAUACCUGCCCUAACAAACCACCAAAGGUAUCAUGAGAUCUGGCAAAUUAGCUUGGGGGGGUGGGGUGGCAGGGCCGGGGAAGGUAAAAAUAAUUCUUUAAGCACAAGACAGUAAGGAACAAAAGGGCAGGUCCAAUAGAAAACCCAUGCUUUACACUAACAUAAAAUGUAAGAAACUAGAAAGUUAAAGAGAAUAUCCCAUCUGGAUAUUGGACUUUUGUCCUUGAACUUGUGUUGGCCUACUUAGUGAUCACAAUAACUAUUUGAUGAAUGACUGAAAGAGGGAAAUGUAACUCCCAAGUGCCUGGCAGGUGGUUUCUCUUGGUUUAGUGCUCCAUGUACUGUAUUCAUGUCCUCUGAGAAGUAGCUCAUACUAGGCUAAGGAUUUCCAGGAGCCUCUUACACAUACUAUCCUAAAAUGGAAAUCCACUAUACGAGGAAUGCUGAGGUCAAGGUAAUAGCUGCCGAUUCUGAUUUAUAGGACUGGUGGAACUUUGGCUGUGAGAUAAGCACUAGGUGGCUAACCACAAGGUCAGCGGUUCAACCCACCAACUGUUUAGAGGGAAAAAGAUGAGACGGUCCCAGUAAAGAUUAGAGUCUCAAAAAUCCUAAGGAGCAACCCCUGUCUUACGGGGUUGCUAUGAGUCAGAAUGAACGUGGUGACAGUGAGUUUGGGUUUUAUUUAGCCUCUAUGGAAACAUAUUGCUGCAGUUUUCUCAGAAGUUGCUGGUAGGUUUGAACCACAGCUUCAAACCAUUUCACUUCAGUUUGGCUACGUGCUGCGAUCUUAAGCUGUAGCUGCUGAUUCAAUAUAUCUGGGGUGGGAAGGCUGCUUGAAGAAGUGAAAUGACCUGGUUGGAAGUGCCAGCCUUUCUGUUAGCAGUGGAGUGCUUAAGCACUGUGCUACUAAGGGCUCCUCAUAGUGGUUAUCACUCUUUCAGGAGGACCAUCCCCCCGCCCCGCCCCCCCCCAGAGAGCAAGUCAGGGUUCUUUCACUAUGUGGAAAUCAAGCCAAUUUGAUCCCGGCACUAAACCGAUGGGUAGGGUGGGUUAGAGGGGGGAGAAGACCCCUUAUCACUUAAUUAAAGGCAUUUUCCUUCCAUGUGGAUAUUGUUAAGAUGAAGAGCCAAGAUAAAGCCUGUUGUAAAUCCUCUCUGUCAUCACAUAACAAAGCCUCUGUCUUUCUAUUAAAGAUCCCCAAUUUAAAAUCUGA